AAUAAGCGGAGGAAAAGAAACCAACAGGGAUUGCCCCAGUAACGGCGAGUGAAGCGGCAACAGCUCAAAUUUGAAAUCUGGUCCUUACGGGCCCGAGUUGUAAUUUGUAGAGGAUGCUUUUGGUGAGGCGCCGCCUGAGUUCCCUGGAACGGGACGCCAUAGAGGGUGAGAGCCCCGUCUGGCUGGAUGCCGAGCCUCUGUAAAGCUCCUUCGACGAGUCGAGUAGUUUGGGAAUGCUGCUCAAAAUGGGAGGUAUAUGUCUUCUAAAGCUAAAUAUUGGCCAGAGACCGAUAGCGCACAAGUAGAGUGAUCGAAAGAUGAAAAGCACUUUGAAAAGAGGGUUAAAUAGUACGUGAAAUUGUUGAAAGGGAAGCGCUCAUGACCAGACUUGGGCUUGGCGAAUCAUCCGGCGUUCUCGCCGGUGCACUUCGCCUCGUCCAGGCCAGCAUCAGUUCGCUUCGGGGGAUAAAGGCUUUGGGAACGUGGCUCCUCCGGGAGUGUUAUAGCCCAUUGUGUAAUACCCUGAGGUGGACUGAGGUUCGCGCUCCGCAAGGAUGCUGGCGUAAUGGUCAUCAGCGACCCGUCUUGAAACACGGACCAAGGAGUCGUCUUCGUAUGCGAGUGUUCGGGUGUCAAACCCCUACGCGUAAUGAAAGUGAACGCAGGUGAGAGCUUCGGCGCAUCAUCGACCGAUCCUGAUGUUCUCGGAUGGAUUUGAGUAAGAGCAUACGGGGCCGGACCCGAAAGAAGGUGAACUAUGCCUGUAUAGGGUGAAGCCAGAGGAAACUCUGGUGGAGGCUCGCAGCGGUUCUGACGUGCAAAUCGAUCGUCAAAUAUGGGCAUGGGGGCGAAAGACUAAUCGAACCUUCUAGUAGCUGGUUUCCGCC
rnacentral:rRNA from 1 species